CUAGACGUUCUGAGAGUCUCAUCUCCAGGUCUUGGGUCCAUCUGAAUUUGGCCUUCCUGUAUGGUGUGAGGUAGGGAUCUGACGUCAUGCUCUUACAGGUGGCCACCGGCUGUCCCAGCAGCACUUGCUGAAGGGACCAGUCUUUCUCCUCUGGAUGGGCUCGCCCAGUAGAACUACCUCCACGUGUGUGGGUUGAUUUCAGAAUCCUCAGUCUGCCCUGGGCCGCUUUCCUUUCCCGGUGCCGUGCUGCCUUGAGGCUGUGGUCUGUAAUAGGCUUUGAAGUCAGGAGGUGUGGACCCUUCAGUGUUGUCCUAACCCAAUUCUGUGAACUCUCCAGAUGACCAGGGAUCUGGAAUCCCUGGAAGGACACGCUGGUCAAACUGACUCAAUAAGAAAUAGACAACCUCAAUAGCUGUAUGACAAGUGGGGAGAGAGUGAGCAGUCCAAGAGCUACCCUGAAGGAAAGCAGGCACACGGCUUCACAGCCUCUCCUGCCAACAUCUAAAGACUCAGAAUCAGUUCUUCACAAAGCAGCAGAGCGGAGAACCCUUCCCAAAUCAUUUUUUUGAGACUGGUAUUAUCCUGAUACCAAGACCAAACAAAGGUAUUGCACAUAGACCAAUUUGUUAUAACUAUGGACACAAAAAUUCUUAACAAAAUACUAGCAAACUAAAUCCAGAAACAUAAAUAGGAUCACCCACCAUGACCACGCAGGACUCACUCAAGAAGGCCAGGUGGUUGUUUUAACAUCCAGAAAUGAGUGGAACCGUGUCAGGUAAAUAGUGAUGAGCCCAUUCUCAGUAGAUGCAGAACAGGUAUUCGACCAUGACCAACAACACCCUUUCAUGGAAAAAUUCUAAAAGCAAAAAACAAAAACAAACAAACAAACAAACUAGGGAUAGAAGGAAUCGUCUUUCACAUGGUAAGGAACAUCUGUGAACAAUCACAGCUGACAUCAGACUUAAUGGGUAAUGGCGGAACAGUCCCCCAAGGCUGGAACAAGGGACACAUCUGUCACACCAUACUGAGGCUCUGCGGAGGCCAGGAGAGAGUUCAUCCACAUGGCAAAACCAGGGGAGACCGCUCCUGUCGGCAGACACCGGGUCUUGUGUAUGUAAAGUCUGAAGGCAUCCAUUGAAGGAGAGUUCAGCAAGGUCGCAGGAUACAACUAAGUAUACACUUCAGUUGUAUUUCUACAUACUUGCAAUGAACAACCCCAAACUGAAACUAAGAGAUAAUAAAACUCCAGGAAUGAAUUCAACAAAAAAGUACAGAACCUCUACUCUGAAAGCUACCAAGCAGUGUUGGAAGAAAUGGAGGGAGAUCUGAACAGAUGGACAACCACCCAGGUCCACAGGUCACACUGGCAGACUCCCGAGUGUCUGGGUAAGUGCAGCCACAUCGGAGAGAGGCCACGGCAGGCUGACGCUGAUCUUCGUACUGAAUUGCACAGGACCUGGAACAGCUGAAGCAGUUUUGAAAAAGACCAAAGGAGGUUCAGAGAAGAGCUCUCAGUCUGACAGUGUCUGCUGCUUGGGGUUGUGUGGGUGCUUCCCAGAGUCUAUGGCUGACUCAGGACCCAUGUAGGUCUUUUCACCUCAUGUGAGUGGACGUUGGAUUGCACAGUCGAAUGGGGCAGCCAGGCACGCGUCCGUGUUCGGGCACGCCCAACCACAGAGCAGCUGUCCUGAGCACGGGACGGUUGCCGGUACCGCAUCCCUGCCGCACUUGCCAGACUGCGGCAGCUGCCUCGCCAGCCGCGGGGGCUCCCUGCCACGUGGUUUUGGAGGCUCGGCAGGAGUGACACCUCCGCGGAGUGCCUGGGGACAAGGAUGGCUGUCUGAAGAGCAUUUCUUCCACCCUCUGCUGAGUCCCCUGCCUCUCAGGUGGGGCCCGUGGAGCGUCUCAGGAGGACACGGGGAAGGAGCUGUGCUCUCCCAACAGACCUCUCACAACUGCAGAAGAGUUGACAGGAUGGUGGCACCCGGUGGAGCCUGUCCCCAGACGAUGACAUCCACACUCUCCUCCAGGCACUGACUAUCCUGCCAUGUCCACGGCCACACACACGCAUGUCCCUCUGUGAGCACAGGCACGUGCAGCACAGCCACACUCGGGCACCUGCUGUGUGCGGGUGCACACAGGCCCACACACACACACCCAUGAGCAGUGCACAGGUGAGAGCACAAGCACAUCUGUGCAUGUGAAACCCAGAGGGGUCUGCCUGGGGCCACGCGUGUGCUCGCACACCCACGUGCACCUGCACACUCUUUUUCUUGGUAGAGUGAAUCUCAUCAUCCUGCCCCUGUGCCCUUCACACAUCUUAGGACAAGGACGUCCUGCAGACCCACAGUGUCUGGGGACACCUGCUGGGCCUGGCCUGUUUGGUGGGCAGGGGGCACUGCUCCAGGGCUGACUGGCCCCUGGCCGACCCAUGACGUGGGCAGUCUGGUUCCUGAGGGAGGGGCAGGAGAGAGGACCCAUGUCCUACAGGAAGGGUCUCUUUAGGACACAGCUGGCCCUGGCAAGUGUGCACAGCGGGGCACAGCCUGAGGGGACAGCCGAUUGAAGGUGGCCGGGAGUCCUGGGGGGAGCCUGCCUAACUGCCUAGCCCAGCCUGAGG
rnacentral:lncRNA from 1 species